rnacentral:tRNA from 1 species
GCCGCGGUGGUGAAGUUGGUAAACACGAGGGACUUAAAAUCCCUUGAGAGCAAUCUCUCGCGGGUUCGAGUCCCGCCCGCGGCA